rnacentral:rRNA from 1 species
UACGAAGGGGGCUAGCGUUGCUCGGAAUUACUGGGCGUAAAGGGCGCGUAGGCGGCACUGUUAGUCAGGCGUGAAAGUCCUGGGCUCAACCUGGGAACUGCGCUUGAUACGGCAGAGCUAGAGGAUGGAAGAGGCUCGCGGAAUUCCCAGUGUAGAGGUGAAAUUCGUAGAUAUUAGGAGGAACACCGGUGGCGAAGGCGGCUGCCUGGACCGAUACUGACGCUGAGACGCGAAAGCGUGGGGAGCAAACAGG